ACGAAGGUCCCGAGCGUUGUUCGGAAUCACUGGGCGUAAAGGGAGCGUAGGCGGCGUGGUAAGUCAGAUGUGAAAUCCCGGGGCUCAACCCCGGAACUGCAUCCGAUACUGCCGUGCUAGAGGAUUGGAGAGGUAGCUGGAAUUCACGGUGUAGCAGUGAAAUGCGUGGAUAUCGUGAGGAACACUCGUGGCGAAAGCGAGCUACUGGACAACUCCUGACGCUGAGGCUCGAAGGCCAGGGUAGCGAAAGGGA
rnacentral:rRNA from 1 species